rnacentral:rRNA from 1 species
AUUGAACGCUGGCGGCAUGCUUUACACAUGCGAGUCGAACGGUAACAGGCCGCAAGGUGCUGACGAGUGGCGAACGGGUGAGUAAUGCAUCGGAACGUGCCCAGUCGUGGGGGAUAAUUACUCGAAAGAGUAGCUAAUACCGCAUACGAUCUAUGGAUGAAAGCGGGGGACCGUAGGGCCUCGCGCGAUUGGAGCGGCCGAUGUCAGAUUAGGUAGUUGGUGGGGUAAAGGCUCACCAAGCCAACGAUCUGUAGCUGGUCUGAGAGGACGACCAGCCACACUGGGACUGAGACACGGCCCAGACUCCUACGGGAGGCAGCAGUGGGGAAUUUUGGACAAUGGGCGCAAGCCUGAUCCAGCAAUGCCGCGUGCAGGAAGAAGGCCUUCGGGUUGUAAACUGCUUUUGUACGGAACGAAACGGCUCUGGUUAAUACCCGGGGCUAAUGACGGUACCGUAAGAAUAAGCACCGGCUAACUACGUG